GGCCUUGGUAGCGCAGCUAACGUGAAGUUAGCCGCCUGGGGAGUACGGUCGCAAGAUUAAAACUCAAAGGAAUUGACGGGGACCCGCACAAGCGGUGGAUGAUGUGGAUUAAUUCGAUGCAACGCGAAAAACCUUACCUACCCUUGACAUGUCUGGAAUCCCGAAGAGAGAUUUGGGAGUGCUCGCAAGAGAACCGGAACACAGGUGCUGCAUGGCUGUCGUCAGCUCGUGUCGUGAGAUGUUGGGUUAAGUCCCGCAACGAGCGCAACCCUUGUCAUUAGUUGCUACGAGGGCACUCUAAUGAGACUGCCGGUGACAAACCGGAGGAAGGUGGGGAUGACGUCAAGUCCUCAUGGCCCUUAUGGGUAGGGCUUCACCCACGUCAUACAAUGGUCGGGACAGAGGGUCGCCAACCCGCGAGGGGAGCCAAUCCCAGAAACCCGAUCGUAGUCCGGAUCGCAGUCUGCAACUCGACUGCGUGAAAUCGGAAUCGCUAGUAAUCGCGGAUCAGCAUGUCGCGGUGAAUACGUUCCCGGAGUCUUGUACACCGCCCGUCACACCAUGGGAGUGGGUUUUGCAAGUAGUUAGCCUAACCGUAAGGAGGGCGAUUACCACGGUAGGAUUCAUGACUGGGGUGAAGUCGUAACAAGGCCAA
rnacentral:misc_RNA from 1 species